AGAGCCUGAGGAAACCAGCUGGGAUCCCUCCUAAAGAAGGUGGAACUGUCCCAAACCUGCCCCUCCUCCCGCACCUGUAGAUCCCAAAAAAACCAGCUGGAGAUGGGAUGGGUUUUGACCUGUCUGAUGCCUUGGGUCCA